rnacentral:rRNA from 1 species
GCCUAUCAUGCAGUCGAGCGGUUCCUUCGGGAGCACCGGCGGACGGGUGAGGAACACGUGAGUAACCGGGCAUCCGGUGGGGGAUAUCGGGCCGAAAGGCGCGGCUAUCCCGCAUACAUCCCGACUCCGGACGGAGUCGGGGGAAAGGCCUUCGGGUCGCUGGAUGGGGGGCUCGCGGCCCAUUAACUAGUUGGGGGGGUAACGGCCUCCCAAGGCGACGAUGGGUAGCCGGCCUGAGAGGGUGAUCGACCACACUGGGACUGAGACACGGCCCACACUCCUACGGAAGGCAGCACUAUGGAAUCUUCCACGAUGGGCGCAUGCCUGAUGGAUCAACACCGCGUGAGUGAAGACGGCCUUCGGGUUGUAAAGCUCUGUCUGUCGGGACGAGGGCCCGGAUGCCAAUCCGGGCGGGACGGUACCGGCGGAGGAAGCCCCUGCAAACUACGUGGCUCCAACUGCGUUAACACGUAGGGGGCAAGCGUUGUCCGGAAUUACUGGCCGGAAAUUCCGGGUAUGAGGCUUCACACUGCCGGUUUUCAUCCGCCGGCUCACCCGGCGGAGGGUGGCUAACCUGUGAGAGUUGAGGUCAGGAGAGGUGCACUUAAUUCCUGGUGGAGCGGUGAAAUGCGUAGAGAUCAGGAAGAACACCGGUGGUGAAGAAGGUGCAAUGGCCUGGCCUUGACGCUGAGGCGCGACAGCGUGGGGAGCAACCGGGAUUAGAUACCCCGGUAGUACACCCCGUAAACGAUGGAUAGUAGGUGUCGCGGGGGUCCACCCGGCGGUGCCGGAGCUAACGCACUAAGUAUCCCGCCUGGGGAGUACGGCCGCAAGGUUGAAACUCAAAGGAAUUGACGGGGGCCCGCACAAGCAGUGGAGCAUGUGGUUUAAUUUGACGCAACGCGCAGAACCUUACCAGGACUAGACGGGACCAGGAGUC